AUUUAUUUAUUUAUUUGCCGUAAAUUCCACAUCAACUUGAGCUUGAGAUUUCUAGGUUCGAUUCAUCAAUCAAUGUUGGUAUUUCAGACACAAAUUAAUGGUGUCCUCAAAUUAUCUCAUAGUUUUUACUCAACUAUAUACAUAGUAUCAAGAUUUCAGUUAUUCUUAUGGAUCAUAAUAUGUUUGGCUAACUACGAUGAAAUAGAAUCAUUUUAAGUAGAAUUCUUUCUUAUGAUAUGUCAAAUAAAACGGGUCAUGUAAUAGCACAUAUGAAAAUUUCACCAUGAAAAAGUCCAAGAAGAUGAAAUGAACUUACUUGGGAAAAGAGCAUUUGAACUCCCCCUUCAAGAAACAAGAGUCUCAUUCCCAAUUUAUCAACAUAGUAAAUAGAAACCACAGCGGCAAUGACAUUGACUCCACCAGUGGUCUGUGGUCACAGCAGACAUGAGUGAACUAUCAACAACAAAACCAAUAGUCUUAAGCAACACUGGUGUAUAGUUGUGACGGACAGUUGAAAUCAACGUUGAGUGCGUCUCUGUAUUUGUAUGGAGCCAUUUCAGAUAGGUAUAGUUGCACACAUUGCAAUUCAAUGAAAUAAAAACAUGUUAACCAUCCUGCAACAAAAAUAUCAAGCUAAAUGAAAUUAAAAGAAGAAAACAACAAAUAGUUAGUCAUUUACUGUGAUUAAUAGACAAUGACUGUUUCUACAUAGGAUAACUCUCUAAAUUCAACAUUCUACCUAACAUGUUUAAUACCUCAAGAUUCAGAUAGUAUUUUAAUACAUUAUACACAUCUUUAAUUUAACAUCACAGUUCAACUCCAACAGUUUGUUGGACUUGCAGUAUGCAUAUCACAAAUUUGUUGCUAUAAAAUCAGUAGAUCUCAAACUUGGCCAAAUGAAACAAUUGUGGCAGUUGAACAAUAUGAGGUUUUAGUUUUGCAAUUAUAAUACACAAUACUUUAUCAAUUUUAAGAAAACAUCACAGAAAAGGAGGUGUCAAUAUACACUUUCUGUGUACUUGAAAAGAUAAAAAAAAAUCAAAUUACAAUAAAAAGGUACUCCAAACUCAACACUAUAAUCCUACUUCAAGUAAGGUGCUCUGAACUUGAUACUAUAAAUUGUAAAUAAUAAAAGCUAUCCAACAUCAAUAGGAAAUGUAACUGGCCGAAACAAUGAAAAAGAAAAUUUUUUAUUGUACUUCUCUUGAGAACUUUCAGUUGUGNNNNNNNNNNNNNNNNNNNNNNNNNNNNNNNNNNNNNNNNNNNNNNNNNNNNNNNNNNNNNNNNNNNNNNNNNNNNNNNNNNNNNNNNNNNNNNNNNNNNCUAAAAACAUGUAGUCAUGUUAUCUAUUCCUAGACUUUGUAGAUGUUACUAUCUUACUACUUGUUCUAUGUAUGUUUUUUUGUAUGACUUAACAUAUUAGAAAGUAUAUACUCUACUUUUAUCAUUGAUAUUUUGUCCAUAAAUUUGCAGCUACAUGUUCAUCUAUAGAUGAAAGAUUAUGUAUUUCUUAGAACAUUACUUUAGAAUUGAGUGCAACGUUUAAAUUGGCAAGUUGAAAUUUUGAUCUAUUAGAUGGUCUAAACUAUUAGAUGCCAAAACCCAAAACCCUAAACCCUAAACCCUAAAGCCUAACUAUUGUGCAUAAAAUUGGAGAAAAUGGCACUUAUUGUCUUGCGUUUCUAGCCAAUAUUCUCAUUUUCUUUAAUUCAACUUCUUUUAACCCUAUUUUUACUUGGUUUCUAUUCCGAUCGCUUGUAAAUCAUUUAAAUUUGUUAAAUAAAAGUAAACCACAUUAGCUACACUAUUUUUUCAAUUAAACAUCACAAACAUCUAAGAUUAUAUUUUGUUAGAUUAUAUAUAAAUAUUUUUUAAAUAAUACAUUUUGCAUACUUAUCAAAUACUAAAAAAUAAGUGAGAAACUCACAAGCGUUUUAAGAAAAUAUUUUCAUACUAAAACUCCCUUCAUCUACUUACAUUAUUUUUUUGAAGAAAAAAAGACCUGAUAUAUUCUUCAAUUUUGUCAUAUAGAGUUGGUGUCUUAUUUUAAAAGUAGCUCACAUAUAUGCCUACCAUUAUAAAAGUGGCUCACAUAUACCUUUGUCAUUUGACGGAAGUGAAAAAAUUAUUUUUUAAUUUUAACAAAAAUCAUGUAGAAAUAUAUAUGAUCCUUGAACAAAGUGCAGAGGUAUAUUUGAUCUUUCACACACAUGAAUUAUUUUUUGACUUCUUUAAAUUUCAUUAUUUGAGUUUGUUAUCUUAUUUUAAUUUUUCUUUCAUUCUUUAGUGUAAAAAUAAGAGAUGUAAAAAGAAAGAAAUGUGACAGAAAAAAAGAGAAAAAAAAGAAGAAAAUAUUAAAACAAUUUUUUUGCAACUAUAUUGUAAUUUAAAACUAUUUUUACGGCCAUAUUAUAAUAUAAUUUUGUAUUCAGUAUAAAAAGUAAAUUGGGGGCCUACAUAAUUAAUUUUAUAAAAAAAUUAGUGAAUAAAUAAAUUUAACCAUCAAAAUAAUCUAUUUGAAUUAGCCGUUGAAGCAAAGAAGUUUAAAAAAAUACGCCUCUACAUGAAUUAUUGAUUUUUAAUUUAAAAAAAAAAUAACUUUUUCACUUUUGUUAUAGAAAAAAAAUUAUAUAUGUGAGUCAUUUGUGUAACAAUAAGGGUAUAUAUGAUAUACUUUCAUGUUAAAAGAUACAUUAGCACUAAAUGACAAAAUUGAGGAGUAUAUCAAAUUUUCCCUACUUUUAAUUUGGUGACCACAACAAUCAAAGAGAAAGAAACAUAUAACCAUAUUUUUCACAUCUUAGCUAUUUAUGAUAUUUUUCUUCGUUUUAAAGGCUCUUGCCAGCAAUGUAGACAAAGAUGGCUAAUAAUUUUUGUCAUGGGCCGCAAUAUAAAAUAUGGUCCACAAGUUUAUAUUUUAUACGUAUAAUGAUAUAAAUGAUAUUAAUAAGUUUAAUUUUUGUAAAAAAGAUUCAUGCUUGAUGUGAAGAAAUUAUUCAUAGCAUGUAAAUUAUCAAAAGUUAGUAAGUUACUACUAUUGGUGAUUUAUUAUAUUAGUGAAUCUUUAUAAAAUUAUGUGUAAUCAAAAAAUUAUAAUAACAUGUAAUCACAGAUAUUUAUUUAUAAAUAAAACAUGGAUAUGUCUGAUUUAUUAAUUAAUUCAACGUCAUGGGAUAUUAUGAUUUUGAGAAAACAAAAUUGAAUCGAAAAUAAAAAUAAACUACAAGUCAAGUUAAAUAAAUAAAAAAUUUGACUAGUGAUUUGAUUUAAUUUGACUUGGUUUGACAUUAAAAAAAAAUCCAUAAUCUAUUUGAAUUAGCCGUUGAAGCAAAGAAGUUUAAAAAAAUACGCCUCUACAUGAAUUAUUGAUUUUUAAUUUAAAAAAAAAAUAACUUUUUCACUUUUGUUAUAGAAAAAAAAUUAUAUAUGUGAGUCAUUUGUGUAACAAUAAGGGUAUAUAUGAGACACUUUUAUAAUAAAAGACAAUCAAUACUAAAUUACAAAUUUGAGGAGUAUAUCAAACUUUUCCCUACUUUUAAUUUGGUGACCACAACAAUCAAAGAGAAAGAAACAUAUAACCAUAUUUUUCACAUCUUAGCUAUUUAUGAUAUUUUUCUUCGUUUUAAAGGCUCUUGCCAGCAAUGUAGACAAAGAUGGCUAAUAAUUUUUGUCAUGGGCCGCAAUAUAAAAUAUGGUCCACAAGUUUAUAUUUUAUACGUAUAAUGAUAUAAAUGAUAUUAAUAAGUUUAAUUUUUGUAAAAAAGAUUCAUGCUUGAUGUGAAGAAAUUAUUCAUAGCAUGUAAAUUAUCAAAAGUUAGUAAGUUACUACUAUUGGUGAUUUAUUAUAUUAGUGAAUCUUUAUAAAAUUAUGUGUAAUCAAAAAAUUAUAAUAACAUGUAAUCACAGAUAUUUAUUUAUAAAUAAAACAUGGAUAUGUCUGAUUUAUUAGUUAAUUCAACGUCAUGGGAUAUUAUGAUUUUGAGAAAACAAAAUUGAAUCGAAAAUAAAAAUAAACUACAAGUCAAGUUAAAUAAAUAAAAAAUUUGACUAGUGAUUUGAUUUAAUUUGACUUGGUUUGACAUUAAAAAAAAUCUGAGUAUACUUGGAUUAGUUUGGUUUAAACUAAAAAAAUUCAACCCCGACAUUGUAAUAUAAUUUUAAAAUUUAUUUUAUACAUAAAAAUAUUUACUUUGAUAUAAUUUAUAAAUAUUUCUUAUACUUUUCAAAGUUUUAUGUUAUAACAUAUUAUUUCAAGUUUGAGACUUAAAAUAUUGAAUAGUCCGAUAAUAAGGGUUAUAGUCCAUUUUUGAAUGGUCCAGUAGAAUUUUGAAUAGUCCAUAAAGGUUGCCUUAUGUGAUUUUGUAUUCAUAUAUUGCCAUUUGUAUUUGCUGCCUUGUGUGUAUUUGUAUUCAUUUGUUGCCAUGUGUGUUUGUAUUUUAUAUUACUAAAAAAGAUUUAUAUAAUUGACAACUAUCAUUUGUAUUACAUUUGUAUUUGUAUCGCUGAUUGUUAACAUUUGCAUCAUUGGCUAUUACUAUUAGUAUUUCUAUUGAGAGAGAAAGAAGGUGGCAAGAGAGAGGGGAGAGGGAAAAUAGAGGGGGGGGGGGGGGAGUUUGAAGGGCUAGGGCGGGCCAACUCUUCAUUUGGAAGAGCCUAAAAAUGCUCAACUCAAUCCAACCCUAGAAGAGUCGAAGGUUGGAGGACUAGCCCUUUUUUUUUUCUUUUCAAACUUAAAAUUCUAUAACAUCAAGAAAAUGAGAAGAUUUUCAAAUCAAAUAUGGUAAACAAUGGUGUUGUUUCAAUAACACUAGCAAAAAAUCUAGUGUAAUUAGCAUGUAUCUAAGUACUAAAUAUAAGAGAUACAUGUAUCUGGUGUGAUGCAUCCCAGAUACGCGAGCGAGAUAAGAGAGUGACAAGCGAGAUGAGAGGGAGACGAGGGCAAGUGAUUCAUCUAUGUAUCCUAGAUACAUGUGAAUCCACUUGGGUAGAGUAUAUCUAGAAUAAAUUAACCUAAUUUUGAGUCCAUGUUACAUGUACGUACUAAAAUCUGGUAAGAUUCAUAAUAUCACAACAUAAUGUGCAUUUAAGUAAUUAGCUCAUAUGCUAGCGAGAUUGUUGUAAGUUACCCUUAAAUAAAUAGUUUAUGCCAAUAGGUCGACCCUAGCCCGGCCUCGAUCAAGUCUCAAGGGGCAAGGGCUUAUAUGGGUUGGACUUAUAAGCCCUAGUUUUAAAUGGUCUUGAAAAAUCUUAUCCCAACCCUACCCUAGCUAAUAACGGGUUGUGGUGGAGUGGUAAAUACCUCUUCAUUCUUAAUCCAGAGGUCUCAAGUUCGAGCCCCUUUGAGUACAGAGUCGCAUUUGUUAGGGAGCACUUUACCUCCCAAUGUCGAACUUUCCACCGCGAAUCCAAAUUUAGUCGGACUUCAAUAUGAAUACCGAACAUCGAAUUGAAAAAAAAAACAAUAGGAUCCCGAACACCGAAUUGGAAAAAAAAAGGUGCAGUAUAAUGCUCUGUGGUACCAUUCUUAAUUUUUAUGGCCAAACAAAUCUGCUAACUUUGAGAAUUUUAAUUCUCAGAACAACCAAAAAUUAAUAUAUCAAAACAAACUGUUCACCGUGUACACACACAUUCAUUACAUUUAUACAAUCCAUCCAACUGCCAAAACAAAAGCUCCAAGUCCUACCAACAGGUUGCGGUGGAAUGAUAAAUAUUCAUUCAUUCUUAAUCAAAAGUCUAGGGUUCGAGUCCCCUUAGUAUAAAAUCACUUUUAUUAGGGAGCAUUUUACUUCGCAAUGUGUCACUUUUUGACGCGAAUCCAAAUUUAAUUGAAUUUAGUAUAAAAAUACCCUCCAUCCAUUUCUUAAGUAAAAAAAUACCCUCACCGUUUUCAUUUCGCCCAAAAAUGUUUUUAAGAACUAAUGAACGACUAAAAAUAAGAGAACUAUGCACUGUGGAGUAGAUCGUUUAGGAUUGGACUUGUAGGACGUAGCAAAUUAGGAUUUGUUGAUGGACGAUUUCCUAAAUCUAUGUUCGAACCAGUGUUACAUGAUCAGUGGGAAAAAUGUAAUGCUGUAGUUUUAUCCUGGAUAAUGAAUGUUGUUCGACCUGGACUUCUAAGUUCAGUUGUCUAUGCAUCUGAUGCUCGAAAAGUGUGGCUGGAUCUGAGAGAAAGGUUCGAUACUGUAAACGGAUCUAGGAUUUUUCAUUUACACAGAGAGAUUCACACUCUCACUCAAGGCACAAUGCCAAUUGCUGACUAUUUCUCCAAACUAAGAGAUCUCUGGGAUGAGUAUGAUGCUCUCAUGCCCUGUCCUUCAUGUCCUUGUCCAGAAUCAAGGAAGUUUGGUGAACAUUGUGAGUAUCAGAGACUUCUUCAGUUCCUUAUGGGUCUGAAUGAAUCCUAUUCACCACCUAGAAGUCAAAUCCUCAUGAUGAGUCCUAUUCCUACCUUGAACAAAGCAUAUGCUCUUCUUAUGGACCAAGAGUGUCAGAGAAGUCUCGUGAAUUCUAAUUCAAUUAACUCAGGACCUGGUGCAAUGAAGGCACAGUCAUGUACAGUAAUAGGAAUUCAAACUCUUACACAGGUUCAAGUAACUUCAAAGGAGGCAGUUCUGGUGGAGGUUUUGGUAAUAUCUCAGGUGCAGGUUUAUCUGGUAGUUACAACAGUAGUGGUGCAAGUUCAUCUAGUAGUUCCAAGAAUAGGAGGCAUUUGUUGCAAUGUGAUCACUGUGGUUGUCGGGGUCAUUCUAAGGAACAAUGCUACAAAAUUGUUGGAGAUCCAACUGAUUUUAAGUCAAAGAGGAAAGGCUAGACUACUGGAGCUUAUGCUAAUCAGGUUGAUACACCUCUUAACAUUGAGUCAAGAGUUUCUUCUUCUGCAGCCCAACCUUCUGGAGGAUUUAUCACGCAGGAUCAGUAUCAACAAAUUCUCCAGCUAUUGUCAAAAAAUGGAGCUGAUAGCACAGUAGAAUCUUCAGCCAAGGUGGCCUCUGUAGAUGCAGGUAUACAUACUUCUGCUCUCUUGUGUUCAUAUGAUGCAGGUGAAUGGGUGGUAGACACUGGAGCUACUCAUCACAUCACCUCAAAUCUUGACACAUUAGACACUAGUACUGUAUCUAUUCCGGAUGCACACAAUAAGGUUUAUUUGCCUAAUGGUAACACUACUGUUGUUUCUCAUAUUGGUAGUACCUGCCUGCUUUCAAAUCAGCCUGUAUCCAAUAUAUUAUAUCUACCUGACUUCAGAGUUAACUUGUUGUCCGUGUCCAAGAUCACUAAGGAGCUUAAUUGCAUGGUAGCAUUUUAUCCUGACUUCUGUGUGUUUCAGGAUCUCUCAAAUGGUCAGGUGAAGGGGAUUGGUAAGGAACAACAUGGACUCUACAUACUAAAAGGUGGACCAACUCAAGCUCCAAAGAAGCUGGUGAAUAGUAGUAGGAGUCUUACUAAGUCAGAUCCUGUACUUGUUCCUUCUAACUCAGUUGAUGUAUGGCACAAGAGGUUAGGACAUGCACCUCUUGACAUAAUAAAAAGAGACAUGAAUGUCUUAGGUCUUUAGGAGGCAAAGAUCCCUCUCAUUGUACAGUGUGUCCUGUUGCUAAGCACACAAAACUUCCAUUUCCGUUAAGCUUUACUAUGUCUAGUUCUGUUUUUGAAUUGUUGCACUAUGAUAUAUGGGGUCCCUACAGAGUUCCUAAUUAUAAUGGCAAAAGGUUCUUUGUUACAGUUGUGGAUGAUUUUAGUCGAUACACUUGGAUUUUUUUGAUAAAUUCCAAAGCUGACACCAUAGUUAUUCUUAAACAAUUCCUUACUCAAGUUAAUAAUGUGUUCUCCACAAGUGUUAAAACUUUGAGAACAGACAAUGGCUCUGAGUUUUUGAGUCACAGCUUUCAGGCUAUCCUAAGUGACCUUGGUAUUGUCCACCAAUCCUCUUGUGUGUAUACUCCUCAACAGAAUGGGGUCGUUGAGAGGAAACACCGGACCAUUCUAAAUAUAGCUAGGGCCCUUCGAUUUCAGGCUGUUAUCCCUCUCAAGUAUUGGGGUGAAUGUGUUUCUACUGCUGUCUAUAUUUUGAACAGACUUCCUUCAAAGUUACUGGGGUUUCAGACUCCAUAUGAGAAACUAUAUAUGUAUCCUCCAUCAUUGUCUCAUCUCAAGGUGUUUGGGUGUUUGUGUUAUGCUGCAUGUCCUAGAGUAUUGGACAAAUUCUCCUCUCGGGCCAUUUCUGCAGUAUUUAUGGGCUACUCUUCAACUCAGAAAGGCUACAUCUUAUUUGAUCUUCAUGCUCAUUCGUUUUCUGUAAGCAGACAUGUGAUCUUCCAUGAACACCUAUUUCCUUUCAAGCAUGCACAAGAAUCCUCUGAUCCUAUAUUUCCAGUUCUGGACAUACUGAUACCCCCUGCUGACACUGUAUGUGUCCCACAAGUUGAUGGUUGUGUCCCACCAACUGAUAGUUCUGUCCAUAGUGAUCCUUGCCCCGUGUCUCCAGUUCAGUCACCACAUGUUGCUCCACCUGUUCUCACCAGAAAAUCUAACAGAACUAGCAAGCAUCCUCUUUGGCUGCAAGAUUUUGUUACUCACCCCACAGGCAAUACCUCUUCCUAUCCUCUUGCUGAUCAGCUUACCUAUUCUCAUCUCUCUCAGUCCUAUCAACAUGUCCUUCAAGCUUACUCAGCUUUGUGUGAGCCUGUGUCUUUUCAACAGGCUUCUGCUGAUCCUGCUUGGGUCAAGGCAAUGCAGUUGGAGAUUGAUGCUUUAGAAAGUAAUCACACCUGGAGUAUUGUGGAUUUACCACCUGGUAAGAAGCCUAUUGGAUGUAGGUGGAUUUACAAAAUCAAAUACUUAUCAUCAGGAGCUGUGGAAAGGUUUAAAGCCAGGCUGGUUGCCCAGGGGUUUAGUCAAAGGGAAGGUCUUGACUAUGGAGAGACUUUCAAUCCUGUUGCUAAGAUGGUGACUGUUAGAUCUACUGUGGCUCUUGCUGCCUCUAGAGGUUGGUAUAUCUAUCAAAUGGAUGUUCAUAAUGCUUUCCUAAAUGGUGACCUUCUUGAGGAGGUCUAUAUGGUUAUUCCUAGUGGGUUUGCUAGACAGGGGGAGACUCACAAGGUCUGCAAACUACAUAAGUCCUUAUAUGGACUUAAGCAGGCACCAAGGCAAUGGAAUAUGAAGCUGACAGAAGCCUUGAUAGAUAUGGGUUUCAAGCAGAGUCAUUAUGACUAUUCAUUAUAUACUAAGCACACAGACAAUGAUAUUGUUGUGGUGUUGGUUUAUGUAGAUGAUCUACUUAUAACUGGAAACAAUCAACAGCUGUUAUGCAACACUAGACUGGAUAUUCAGAAAAAAUUCAAAAUGAAAGACUUGGGUGAGUUAAAGUUCUUUUUGGGCAUUGAGUUCUCAAGGUCCAACAAAGGCAUACUUAUGUCACAAAGAAAGUAUGCUUUAGAAUUGAUAUCUGAGUCUGGCCUAGGGGGAGCAAAACCAGCCUGUACUCCUUUAGAAAUGAAUCAAAAGCUCACAUCAGUUCAAUAUGAUGAGCAUAUUAAUGAAGGAAUAGCUGAAGGAGACAGCAUACUAACUGACACUACAAAAUAUCAGAGACUGGUAGGAAGGCUUUUAUAUCUCACUAUGACAAGACCAAAUAUUUCUUUCUCAUUACAAGUUUUGAGCCAAUUCAUGCAUUGUCCUAAACAGUCACAUAUGAAUGCAGCUCUUAGAAUAGUUAGAUACAUCAAAGAAGCACUUGGAUUAGGCUUGUUAAUGCCUACAGGAGACACUUCUAAACUCACAGCUUAUUGUGACUCUGACUGGGGAGCGUGUAUGAAAACUAGAAGAUCAGUUACAGGCUACUUGGUUAAAUUUGGUGAAGGACUUAUUUCUUGGAAAUCAAAGAAACAGGAGACAGUUUCAAGGAGCUCCGCUGAAGCUGAGUUCAGAAGCAUGGCAGCAUGUACAGCUGAGAUAAUUGAAUUCAUAGAAAGGGGUUAAAGACAAGUCAAUCGAUCAACCUCCUUUUCUUUUGGCUAAAUCAACAGAGUGGUGAGCUAAACAAAAUUUGGGCAUAACGUAAAUCGAAUCAAACCACAAAUAAAAAAAAGAUACGAUUAAUGAUUUGAUUUGACAUCGGAAAAAAACCAAUUAUUCAUAUCUGUUAAUUAUUCUCCUCUUGCAAAGCAAAAAUAUUACUACAACUAUAUAUAUAUCAAUUAAGAAAAUAACAUGAAUGUCAAUUUCAGUUGGUCGUCUAAUUAAGUUGAUAUAUAUAACAUUGGCGGCUCCACGCGAGAUUAAUAGUCAAACCACGUUACAUCAUAGUACUAACUGUUGAUCAGUUCAGGAGAUUGAACAAGCUGUAUGGUGUGAGUUAGUUAGAGUUGUUAGAAAGGUUCUAGAAGCUUCUAUAGUUAGUUAUGAAAGUUGUUACAAUACUACAGCUUAUAAAUAGGUAUUAACCUACAAUGUAAAGGUUAACUUUGAAUGUUACAAAAUAUUGAUUGAGUUCAAUACAAUGCUCUCUUCUCUUCUCUUCUCUUCUGUUCUUCUCUCUGUUAUUCUACAUAUUCUAAACCUCCAUUAAUGGAGUUUUCACUUAUCCUUAAAAAAAUGAUAAUUGACGACAAUGUAUAAAAAAAUAUUAGCCAGCAGAUGUAUAAUAUAACAAUUCAUGCAUAACCAUUGUAUUAUCUAUGUAUACAAGCUAGAAAAAGUAAACAAUGAAUCUUCAGUGCUUUACCAUAUGACAAUAACCAGCAAUGUGCUAUAAAUGGAGUUUUCGUGAUAUGCGUAUUCCUGCAAAAGAUGCUCAAUUGGGUACAAUUCAGCAGAAAACUCACCUUUUUGUGAAGAACUGAAGAUAGGUGCUUUAUUUUUGUUGUAAGCUGAGCCACUGAAAACAAAAAAAAAAAAAAGGCUAACAUUAAUAUACAAUGUAAGAAACUAUAAACAUCAUUGGAGCAGCACUAUGUGGCUUGAACUUCCAUUUGAGUAUCAACUUUAAACAAAAUCAAAUUCAAGCAACUUUCUUACAUAUGUUUCUUUAACAAGUUCAAGAGAUAUAACGUCUAUCAACAGCAAAACUAAGGUAUUAGAAGCUGGACGACAGGAUAUCUACAAAGAACUUUGGGGUCUCUCUACACAUGUUGCCCAAAAAAAGGAAUAGGUUGCAAUAUCUCGCUUAAUCCCACUCGGUCCCCGGAAUUCACCAUUAGGGGCUGUUUGGACUCACAUACUGGUUAUGCUGUAUAAUGCAUGGAUUGUUUAUGUGAUGAAUAAAAGAUGAAAGAAUUAUUAUGCUGUAAUUAAUACUCCCUCCAUCUUCCGAGUAAUCUGCUAGGGGCCAACCCUAACAGACAAUUGCAGGCUUCAAAACUCGGGAAAACAAGUCCACUUCUCUAUCUUUCUCCACUUAAAUAGCAAGCUUAGUUCACAUGGCACAUGGCUCGAAUCUAUGACCAAAGUUAAUUUGUUCUAGAUACAAUCUAUCAAAGUAGAUUCGCAUGUAUCUAGGAUACAUAUACAAAUCUUGCGCCCUCGCCUCCCUCCCAUCUUGCUUGUCACUCUCUUAUCUCACUCGCUUAUCUGGUAUGCGAGAUACAUACUAAUUACACUAAAUUUUUGCUAGUGUUAUUGAAACAACACUAUUGUUUACCAUAUUUGAUUUGAAAAUCUUCUCAUUUUCUUGAUAUUAUAGAAUUACAAGUUUGAAAAGAAAAAAAUAAAAAGAAGGGCUAGCCCGCCCCAGCCCUCGGCCCUUCUAGGGUUGGGUUGGGUUGGGUUGAGCAUUUUCAGGCCCUACCAAAUGAAGGGCCAGCCCGCCCUAGCCCUUCAAAUUCCUUGGCCCGCGAGGCUUGGGCCGGGUGGGACUGGGCCGGCCCUUUUUGACAGCUCUACCAACAAUACUUUUUGAAAAACAUUUUCGAGAAAAAAAAAAAAUCACAAUAAGAUGAUUUUAAAAAUUUGACCAAACAUGCUAAGGGUAUUUUACUAAGCUUAUAAGUUCUCUUCUACCAAACGCUUUUGGUACAUGCUUUAGAGCUCUCGUAUACCAAGUUUUUACCCACUUGCAUAUAAUUAAGUUCACAUUAAUAUGAAGAAAUUAACAAGUAUUGAAUAAAAUUUCUUUAAAAAAAUAAAUCAAAAUGCCAGUCAUCAAUCUUCUAUUCUUUAUCUUCGCUUAUUUCAUUUUCAUUAUUCUCUCAUUCUUUCUUCUCGUUAGUUUCAUAUUCAUUAUCUGAUUCUUCCCCUUCUCCCCCAAUUGAUUCAUUUUCCUCAGCUUAUUCUUUCUCAACAUUUACGAUGAUUGUUACCUAAAUCCUAAUCACCACCAACUUCUUCUAAUAUAUGUCAAUAUACCUUCUUAACAUCUUGUGCAAAUGAUAAAAAAUUAUAUUAUUUCGUGUAUUUAACUUCAAUUACAUUAUAUUGUUAAUUCACCUCGAUAUCCUUAUGUGAUGGAUCUAAUUACUUGCAUCAAAGUAGUACUUUGUUUUUCUCAUUCAUCUAGGGUAUCUAAAUUUCAAAAAUCUCUUAUAUCAUAUCAUAAUUAUUUGUAUAAUAUUAAUUUGGCACUUCAAAUUAUUUUAUUUUUGCUUAGAAAAGAAGAUUCAAAUGCCAAAGCACAAAAUCACGAUAAUUUAUUUAAACAUUUAACACAACCAAAAGGUUACAUAAUCCAAACAUACAUUACAUAGAGAGACAUUUCUAUUGAAAUUUAUCCCUCAAAUUCCUCCUUUAAUUUUGAGGUUGAAAUACUUAAAUGCGCGCAAUCAUAAAUAUUGCAAGUGCUUAUUAUUUAGCAUAGUAAGGUUACUACUACAACCCGAGACCUUGAAUUAAUAAGAAGCUUUGUUUGCUCGGAGUUUCUUCCUAUCAGAGAGCAAUUUUGCAAACCUACAACGGAAUAAACUAUUUUAAUUAGCAAUAAAAUAGAUUUAUAAGAAAUCUAAUAUGAAUAAUAUUGACUAACGAGAUAUAGUAAUAUGAAAAACAAAAAAGGAUUAUUUCAAGCACCGACAGAAUCGAAUGUGACAGAGUUUUACCUCUUUAGAGCUACCUCAUAGGUUUCAUGACUGUCUUCGGAAACAUUUUUCUUCAGUAAGUUUUUACCAACUUGUUCUAAUAAUUUCAUAUUAGCCACAGAAGCAUCAUCCAUUUUAGUAGUUGUGCCUGUUAAUGCAUUUUCCUGGAAUUAAAUAUACUCGUAUCGUUAGCAAAGAAAAUAUGGCAUGCAUAUUAUAAAAUAGUAAUAAUGAAAAAACUACAGAAUUAGAUAUACUUCACUAUCAUAUAUACUUUUAAAAUUUUAUGUAUCUUACCAUUUAUUAAGAGUUUCCUACCAUAUAUUAAGAAAAAUAUACUUAGAUAUAUGCAAUUUUGCUACCAGAUACACAAAAAUAGGGAGAAAAGCAUCAAGCGAGAUUCGUAUGUAUCCCAGAUACAUGCAAAUCGCACUAGAUACAUGUAUCUAUAUGCAUCUGGUGUGAUUCACAUGUAUCGAGGAUAUCAAAUACAUGGGAGAGUGGCAAGCGAGAUUGGAGAGAGCGAGCAAGAUUUGCUAAUGUAUUCUAGACUGGGGUGGCCCUAGAGGUUGACGAGGGGGUUCACGACAAAAAAUUACUUUCGUUGUAUAUUUAAGGUAAUUUUAAGAAUUUUUAGGUUAGCUAUAUAUUGAUUUUGAACCUCCUAAAUGUAAGAUUAGAGGUUGACUCGGUGGUCGAGGGGUUCAAAACUCACCCUUAAGGAUCCAAGAUCAAAUCUUAGGCACUACUCUUUUUUUUUUUCGAACCCCCUUAAUGAAAAAAUCCUGAAUCCGUCACUGAUUCUAAAGAUCCAUGUAAAUCCACUUGGAUAGCAUGUAUCUAGAACUAAUUACACCUAACUUUGACCAUGCAUAUAUCCUAGAUACAUCAAAAUCUGGUAAAAUAGGUAAUACUGCAAACUAGAUUAGUGAGAUUUAUGUAAGUUCCCGAUAAUAAUAAUUAAGUGUGGACUUACUUGAACCCUGAGGUAAUUGUUUUUUGAAUCAAGAGCUUGAAAAACAGUAGAAAGGUAAUAAUCAUUCAUGUAAGAACUUGCUGCAUUUCCCAUUUCCCGUAAAGGUAAUAUCCAUUGUACAAUAGCCCAUUUAGCUGCCUCUUCUGCUGUAUAGUUUUUAGCAAACUCUGAAGUAGUGCCAGUGCCUAAUGAGAGCAACAACUAUUUUUUGUAAUUCAAUGACUUAAUUGAAGCAAAUGCUGGAUCCUCAUUUUCUGCAUGUUUCAUUGCAACGCUAACUGAUAAUAACGCCUGCAUGCAUGCACGUACAACACAUAAUAGUAUUGAUCAGAUAUUUCGAAAAAACAUAUAAAAUUGAAUCGAAAGUAGUAGUAGUAGUAGUAGUACCGGAUCACCAGCAGCAACACCACCAUCAACAAGAUUGAACUCAUAUUUAUCGCCAUUACUAGUAUUAGUAACAAAAUAAUGUGGAGGAAAAUACAUGGGAACUGCUGCUGUGGAAUAACAUAUGUCAUACAUCUUAGCAUCCAAUUCUGGAGACUUUGCUAACUGCAUUUUAAAAAUAAAAAAUUAGUCGAAAGUAUAUAUUUUACAUAUUGACACUUCUUGGCUUCUAUACGAUUUUAUUUCUUGAUAUUUUGACACACCUAAUUAAUCGAUAUUUUGGCUACGUCACUGAAUCACUGUCACCGUUAAAACUCCUAAACACGUCUGAUCUCAACAUCAAAAUGUUUUGUUACCGUUCCCAUAAUCAAGAUAAAUUAUAUAUAAUAUCUUGUGCUAUAAGAUGGCAUGUCCAAUUGCCAUCCUAGAUUGUGAACAAAAAAUUUAUACUUAUAAGAACCGAUGAUUUAAUUCUCUGUGUAUAUAUAAGCUAAAACUCUAUACACUAAAUCAUCUACUAUAUACGAAUAUAUGAUCGAUCUAUUAAAUCUGAAUAAAUAAUUAUUCUAUAAUAAAUAUUAUAUCUGAAUGCAUGAUUAUUACUUAUUAGUAUAUAUAUAUCCCAACAAUCUAUUAAGAAAUUCACUUGUUUUCGAAAACAUUUUUCUUGGUACAAAUCACUAUAAUUAUUUUGACUUACCUGUGACUUAGUGAAUAUUACUGGCUUAUUUGUUUUGAUGUCAAAGGUUGAGAUGGCAACUUCUGUCAAAGCUUGAUGCAAACGAGUUUCUCCUAAUUUUUCUUGAAGAACUUGCAUAAAAUAUUUUCCAUCAUUUAUUGGGCCAAAAAUUUGAGGAUCACUGCAUAAUAUAAUGUAACCAAAUUAAAUAUAAGUAUAAACAACAGAAAUCUCAUGUAUUUGGGUUAAUUAUAUCCUAUCUCCGAAGUUUACUCACUUACAUACAAAAAUACUGAAUAUUUCAUCGCUCUCGGAUAUAUUUCUUGGUUGUCCGAUACAUUGCAAAUGAUGCAUUACUUAAUGGGAGGGAUGUAUCUGAGAGGGGAUAGAGAUGUAUCUGAGAAGAGAUUUUUUGUAAUUUUUUUAAUGGUAGGAAAUUUUAGAGAAUAUAAUAUAUCAAGUCGUGUAUAUAUGUAAUAUUUCCUAAAUAUAAUUCAUUACUCAAAACAUAUUCUCCUUCUUUCUUUCGAGUUGUUUGGCCUAUUUUUUUUUAGUCCAUCUAAGAACAAUGUACUCCAUCUGUUCAUUUUAUGUGGCACUUUUCGGAUUUCGAGAUUCAAACAAGUUUAUAUUUGAUCGUAAAUUUUUUAUAGAUUUUUUAAACAUUUUGAAUUAUCAAUUAUUGUGACUUGUAGUACUUUUUACGUAAUUUACAAGUAUAUAAAUUUCAUUUCAAAAAAAUUACAGAUUUCAUGCGCAAAUUUUAGGUCAAACUUAACAUGUUUGACUCUCGAAAAAUGAAAAGUGCCACAUAAAUUGGAACAAAGAGAGUAAGUAAUUGUUUUUACUUUAUAGUGACUCUUUGAUGUCAACUUUCAACUAGACAUGUUUAAGACCAUAAUAUUAAAUAUUGAUACGUUUGACAUAUCUUCAAUUUAAUAUCUGAAGACUCAAAAAAAAAAAAUUCACGUUCUUAAACUCCGUAUCAAAUUAAAAUUAGACAAAUAAAUUAAAACAGAGGAAUAUAAAUAUGUAUAUUUACCUAGAAUUAAAAAUAUGAGGGCCAUAUUUGAAGUAAAAAGGUACAAUAUCUUUGGCAGCAGCAAAGGGUCGAUUGUUUCAUUUGGAGUAGUUAUCAUAGCAGUCAAUAAACCUCCUGUACUUGUUCCUCCAAUUACAUCAAAGUAAUCUGCAAGUCUUGCAUCUUUAUUAUUGUCCACAUCCUGACUCGAAAGAAAAGUAAAUCGUAUAAAUUGAAGCAAAAUGAAUAAAAAAACAACUCAUUUAUUAAUCAGAUACAUUUAUAUAUUGAAAAAUAUAUAUAUGUUAAUUGUUCAUCUUAAGUCAUCACCAAAUAGUUGUGAGUCAUAGUAUGGUGGGGUUAAGUGGCGUAUGCAGAAUUUUUAGAAAACGUUGUCGAUAUUUAUAGAAGGAAAAAUAGAAUCUUAAUUAUCAUACAUAUAAGAAGGUUAUAUCCUUGGCUCAUUCGUUUAGACUAGUUUUUAAGAUAGAAAAGGUCUUGAGUUCAAUUCUACUACAAAAUCAACAAGAGAACCAACACGUUAGGGGCAGAGCUACACCUUAGCGAGAGUGGUCAGAUCAUGAACAACCUUCGUUGGAAAAAAUUUGCGAGUACAUAUGUUAAAUAUCAAUAUUUUUUGGAUAUAUACUAAUUGUUGAACAUUCUUAGCAUAGCAGAGAAAGAUAACCCAGUGGUUAAAGCUGUUCAAAUUCGCCUUGGGGGCCUGGGUUUGAGCCUAGACUUUGACAUUUUAUUUUAAAAAAUUAGUUCCGUUUUUUCUCUUAAAAAAGAGAACAAAAGCCAUAGUUCUGUUUUGAUGAUCUGCCCAUCAAGAUUUAUUUUUUUUACUUGUCCUGAACUAUGAACAUUCUAGACGAAAAUCUUGGCUCCGCCGCUGCAACAUGCCAAUAGGUCAUUACUGUCAAUUAGUAGUGUCAUUUAAUUUUGUUAAAUAUAUAUAUCUUUUUGCAUAGUAUUAAUACAUAUAUUUAGUAAAAUAUUUCGAGGAAAGGGUGACGCUUGACACCCAUUCACUCAACGUAGGUCCGCUCCUAACCAUGUCUACUAAUUCAAAAAGAUAGUCUAACAAUUACUAAUAUUAAUAAACAUCGAAAUAAUACAAUUCAAGGGUAAAAAAGAAAAAUGAUAGAAAUGUCACACUUACGUAUAUACAUAAAAAAAACAUUUUUACGAUACCUGAAGUUGUCCUUCAAGAAAAUCAAGAAUGGUACCCGGAAUGACUAUAGUAGUAGUGUCACACUUACGUACAUACAUUAAAAAAAAAUUUUACAAUACCUGAAGUUGUCCUUCAAGAAAUUCGAGAAUGGUACCCGGAAUGAUUCCCUUAAUUCCACCUCCAUCAAUACUAAGAACAGUCACCAUUUCUCCCAACGUAGCAAAUGUUGAACUAGUAGUUGCUAAUAUCAUAAAAAAUAAAAUUAAAAAAGUUUUACUAGUUGCCAUUUUGCAGAUUAUAAUAAAUAAAAACUAAUAUCUCAAAGUGUUUUUGAUUUUUUUUUUGGGUGCUUUGAACAUAUAACAAGCAUGGUAUAUAUAGUCACGUAAACAAGUUGAGAAAUUUUAUUUUGAGUUUGACAUAACCAAUAAAGUUGUAUGAGAAUCCGUUCAAAUUUUGACACGUGGAUAGUGGGCCCAGUUGAAGGAAAGUGAAUUUAUAGUUGGUGUGGGCCCGGCUAACACAAUAAGGAGUCAUUUGAUAGAGUGUAUCAGAAAAAAUAAUAUAUGCAUCAACUUUGUGUAAUAUUAUUAGAAAUAAUAAUGCAUGCAUUACUAAUACCAUGAAUUUCGAUGUAUUAGGAAUGCUUAGAUUGAUUCCUGAUAUAACUAUCCCUCAAAUCUUUCUCAAAAUAUUUUCCAUUUUUCAAAGCUAAAGAGUGUAGAAGGUAUUUUUGUAAAUAAUUUUUUUUUUUUUUUUUUUAUAGAAGUUAUGUAAGAUUUGUUAUUUCUAAUACAUCAUAUCCAACAAUGUACAAGAAAUAAUGCAGCAUAAUUAAUCCAUCAUUAUUAAUACAAACAUUACUAAUACAUUUUAUUCAAUAUUAUUCUUAUGCGCACUUAAGGGGUCGUUUGGUAGAGUGCAUUAGAAAAAGAAACAAUGCAUGCAUUUAGCUUUAUGUAUUAUUAGUACCAUGUUUGGUACAAUUUUUAACCUGUGUAAAACUAAUGCUUAUAAAUAAUACAUGAAAAUUCAUAGCAUUAAUAAUUUAAAGGAUUUUAAUGCAUGCAUUAGCACGUUUAAAGACAUAAUUGCUCAUCAAAACCUUUUACAUAUAUCGAUCCUUUCCAUCAUAUUUAUGAAGGGUAUUUUGUAAAUAAAUUUUUAAACACAUGUUAUAUCUAAUAUACCAGAUCAUAUUCAUUGAAUUGUUGGGUCUGACACUCCCCUUAUAAAAAAUAUUUAAGGACAUAAAUAAAAAUGUUAAUUUUCUCCUAUCCCCCUUUUGAUUAUUCCAAAAUUAUUGUCCUAAAAAAUGUAAAAUAUAGUUAUGAACCUCACUAGAUCAUGAAGAAUAAAUAUAAAAAGGUCCCAGUAAUUAUUCUAAACUUUGAACAAUUUACUUUUUUUGGACAAUUAAUUUUUUUUUCAAUAAUCCACUUGAUACGGACAAAAGAGAGCAUCAAUUAGGAUUUAGGAGUCCAAUUUUAUAAGGAAGUACGUAGUGGAAAAAUAGAGUUUAUAUUAAAUGAAAUUCUAUUAGGACUUUGUCCAGUGGGCACAAAGUGUUCACCACAGAAUGCUCACACGUGUAGGGCAGAAGUUGUGGCAGAGAUUAUAGCGGCUGUGAAUUAUCCCGAGGUUCCAAACAAGAAAAUCAUUUUUUUUUUACUUCUCUUAUUCUCUAUUUUGUUUCACUAUUUCCAUGUUUAUUUCUAAACUAUAUAUGGUGUUGAAAUAUAUAUUAUUACAUGAGUUCUCUUUCUUUGCAUAAUAGAUACAUACAUGGAAAGCAUUGAGAGAGCAAAAGCAAGCUCAUCAAAGGAUGUGUUGUAAUGGAUGAGACGCUUCUUUUUUAAUUAGAGGCUUCAGAUUCGAGCUCUGAAUAUGAAACAAUCAUUUAUAAGAAGCACUAUCCCCCAGAGGGGUCCUACCCAAUGUGAAUUUAGAUUAAUCAAACUUUAAAGUGGAUAUCAAAUCUCGAGUGGAAAAAAAAAAAAAAAAGCAAUUCCUGUUUGAGCCAACUCCUUUGUAUUUUGUACAGUCUUCCCUUUGUUUGUAUCUACAUAAAUAGAGGCAGACACGUCAGAAACUCCUUUUAUUAGGCUUAAAAAAACCAUCUUCAUAUACCAAAUGUGGUAACAUAUACUCCCUCCGUUUCAAAAGAAUGACCUCCUUUUCUUUUUAGUCUGUUUCAAAAAGAAUGAUCUUUUUAUUUGUUUGGUAAUAUUUUAGUUUCAGCUUUUCACGUGUCAUGUUUAAAUUAAAGCCACAAGAUUAAUGGAUAAUUUUGUACAUUUGACAUAACUUUAAAUUUAUAACCACAAGAUUCAUAAGUCUUCUUUAUUUUCUUAAUUCCGUACCAAGUCAAACUAGGUCACUCUUUUUUAAACGAAGGAAGUAAUAUGUAACCCACGCAACCCCUAGAUAAUAUUAGCAUAAGCAAAGCUCUGCCACUUACUUGUAUUGAUGCAUAUUAAGUUAUAAUAUAUUUUCCUUAUUACCAAAAAAAAAAAAAAAAAAAAGAGUACAAUCCAAAGAACCCAGUCUUAUAAUUGAUGUUUCUUUUUUUUUUCUUUGGUUUGUCUAAAAUCUGUUGGAGCAUGACAUUUUAAUGGUAAAAAAAUUUAUUUAUUAGGUAUAAAUUGAUAAGAAAAUGGUAAAUUGUAUUUUAUGUAAUUUAUAUAUUAAUUAAUCCACUAUACGUCACACCUGCUAUUAAUUAUCUUGAUAUUUAUUACUCAAUUUUUACUUGUCAUAAUUUGACUUGAUAUAUUCAUUAAAAAUAUAAUUAUUGAUAGAAGUUGAGAAGGUAUAAGUUGUAUUCGUUUCGUGUGCUUAAUUUUUUAUAUUGGGUGAUAUUUGGAAAGGUAUAAGUUGAGAAUGGUUGGGUGGAUUUUCAAUAAACUCCUAACAAUAUUAUAAGUAACGUAUUUCCUUCGAAACAAAUUAAAUUUAAACAAUUUAAAAUACAAAUUAAUUCUCUUUUUCUCUUUUUACUCAUUACAAAACACAAUAAUAUUCUUGUGAGAAGUUUAAAAUAAUUGCUAAAAUUUGAAUUUUAUAAAUCUUUUAAAUCCCUAGGAAUAUUCUGUCAUCAUUUAUUUGACAACUAAUAGAGAGACCCAAUAUAGUGUUCACUUAAUACACAUAUUUAACACAGUUUCUAACUAUUCACCCAACCCAACAACCAAAAUUAAAGCUCUGACACUUGUAAAAUUGACAUUCAUUGUAAUGACCCGGAAUGUUAUUUUUGGAAUUUUUUGAAAAAAUUAUCGUUUUAACCCUCUCGAUAGUUAUCCCGAGUCAUUUAUGAUCAAUCAUUGAAGUUGGUUUGAGAAUUUUGAACUAUUAAACAACUAUGGUUAUUCAAUUAGCGAAAAAUUUGUUUAUAAUUAAUUUUAUUAAGUGGUUAAUGGGUCAAGUCCAUAACCCUAUACCACUUGACCCAUGUACUAAUUAAAUUAAAAGGGGUUUAUUAAAUUU
rnacentral:lncRNA from 1 species